GUCCGUGUAGAUUAUUUAAAUCGUGAUGCUGUUAACUUUAAGAAAGAAUACGUUCUCAUGGUCG
rnacentral:tRNA from 1 species